UACGGAGGGUGCAAGCGUUAUCCGGAUUUACUGGGUUUAAAGGGUGCGCAGGCGGAUAUGUAAGUCAGUGGUGAAAUCUCUAGGCUUAACCUGGAAAUUGCCGUUGAUACUAUAUAUCUUGAAUGCUGUGGAGGUAAGCAGAAUAUGUCAUGUAGCGGUGAAAAUGCUUAGAUAUGACAUAGAGUACCUAUUGCGAAGGCAGCUUACUACGCAGAUAUUGACGCUCAUGCACGAAAGCGUGGGGAUCAA
rnacentral:rRNA from 1 species